rnacentral:rRNA from 1 species
GUAAGGGAUAAGAGCUGAAAGCAUCUAAGCUCGAAACCCGCCUCAAAACGAGGUAUUAUGACACUUAUAGAAGAUAAGUUAGAUAGGACCGGGGUGUAAGCACCGAGAGUAUCAGUGUUACUGGAAACCACUACUUCGGUAGAGGUGAAAGGUGACACUUCGAGGUGUUCAGCCCGUCGGUUACUAAUAGUCACAACUGCUACUUUA